CGACUGCACACUACCGCCGGGGGGGAGGCGGCCCGGCCCGGCGUACCCUCCGUGGGGCGGCCACCGAGCCGGCGUACCGGGCACGGCUCCGCCGCCUCUAGCGCCACACCACGGAAACAGGUUGGUUUUAGCUUCGUAACUGAAGUGCUGGGGGAAUGGAAGGAGCCUUCGAUCAAAAAAGAAAAGGCUGCUUUGAGCCCCUGUGUCGACAUGGGAGACAAGCAGCUGUACAGGAGUGAAAACGGGUGUUAUUUUAAUAAGGAUAUGUCCCUGUGUGGGACAUGUGGGAGCUUCCAAGAGACUAAAACCCCAGGAAAUGUUAUAUCACUGCUUAAACCCGCACCCAUGAACCACACAAGAGAGACCCUGCAUCUCCCUUCGCCCAGUAAGAGGCACAAUGCUUCCCACGCUGAUAAAGGAUGUGAGAUCAAGAGUUCCAUCUCCUGACAUGGAUAGGAAAGAUUUUACCCUUUAAGUAACGGGAUUUCCUCUGCUCCCUGCAAAUCAAGUUAGAAUAUUGUGAGUCUCUGCAAGAAGGCAGCAGGGUAAAAACCAGAGUCUAGGCGAGCUACACGCGUGGGCUCUGGACGCUGCAAUGGGGUCAACAGAUAUAUGUCGCUACUGGCCAAAGGGGGGACUCAUGGCUAGCCAUGGAAACUGAGGGCUAGUUGUCUCACCGCAUUUAGACUGCCCUAGCUAGAGCUGUGGUUCAACCUAGUUCAUGUGUGGGUGGUUCCUCCACAUUUAACCUUCAGAAUCAGCUGAAAGUUAGGGCUGAAUUCCUGGGUAAUUGCUGACUUCCAGAGAAGACACGGGUAGAACAGCCUGUGUCUUCCUCAGGAAUUAUUCUGUUCUGUUUUAGUAACCUCUAUCCGCUGAGCAGUUGCAUUAUUCAAUCAUUUGGCACGCCUACGUUGUGUCAGUAGAGGAUUACUAGAAAUCACUUCUGUCAUCAAUGCGUUAUUUUGAAAUGGCAAGCCUAAUAAAUGCAUAUGCUGCUGGUUUCCUGA